GAUGAACGCUGGCGGUAUGCUUAACACAUGCAAGUCGAACGGUCACUUCGGUGAUAGUGGCGGACGGGUGAGUAACGCGUGAGAAUCUGUCUUCAGGUCGGGGACAACAGUUAGAAAUGACUGCUAAUACCGGAUGUGCCUUUGGGUGAAAGAUUUAUUGCCUGAAAAAGAGCUCGCGUCAGAUUAGCUAGUAGGUGGUGUAAGAGACUACCUAGGCUCCGAUCUGUAGCUGGUCUGAGAGGACGAUCAGCCACACUGGAACUGAGACACGGUCCAGACCCCUACGGGAGGCAGCAGUGGGGAAUUUUCCGCAAUGGGCGAAAGCCUGACGGAGCAAUACCGCGUGAGGGACGAAGGCUUUUGGGUCGUAAACCUCUUUUCUCAAGGAAGAUGAUGACGGUACUUGAGGAAUAAGCAUCGGCUAACUCUGUG
rnacentral:rRNA from 1 species